CAAAAACAGAGUUCCAGGAAACAGCUUCCCCUGCUGUUGUAAGCUGGUACAGCGUUGUUCCUGCCUUAAUGGCUACAAAAGACGGUGGUGCUACACCUGGAGCAAGGAAAGGAUGAAAAAACAUCUUGUUAGGGUUUUUUUCUUACCAAGUGCUGAUGGAAAAGAAAAAAUUGCGCAAACCAAACCUUGGCAAGCGAAAGCAGCCAACAUUUCAGCCAAAACCAACUGCAGCUGCCUCAGUGCUGGGGCAGAGCAGUUGAAGUGCAGCAGGAGUGGCAGAACUUCACCUCACAAACAAAUAAAGUUCUAAGGGCAAAACCUCAUGUCACACCUUAA